rnacentral:rRNA from 1 species
UACGUAGGGUGCAAGCGUUGUCCGGAAUUAUUGGGCGUAAAGAGCUCGUAGGCGGUCUGUCGCGUCUGCUGUGAAAACUCGGGGCUUAACCCCGGGCCUGCAGUGGGUACGGGCAGACUAGAGUGCGGUAGGGGAGACUGGAAUUCCUGGUGUAGCGGUGAAAUGCGCAGAUAUCAGGAGGAACACCGGUGGCGAAGGCGGGUCUCUGGGCCGUAACUGACGCGUGAGGAGCGAAAGCGUGGGAGCGAACAGG